GAGACCCAGAGCUCUGCCCUGAAGCUGGCCGACCAGAGCUGCCAAUUCAGCAGAGUAAUGAAUGCACCGCGUGUCUCUGGGAAAUUAAGGCCCUGCUGCCCGGUCUUCUUAUCACCUCUGAGGCUGCCCUCUGAUCCCUUGCUAAGUGCCAGGCUCCCUGGAGAAGGGCCCAGAAUGAGGACUUGGAGUCUAUUUCUGUUGGCUGUAGCCCAUCAGUGUGUUCUCAGCAUCUGUACCCCAUCUAAACAAGUUUAAACAUCGGAGCAGAGCCUCAAGCUCCCACAGCAGAACAGCAGGAGGAUGCAAGA